GAUGAACGCUGGCGGCGUGCCUAAUACAUGCAAGUCGAGCGAACGGACGAGAAGCUUGCUUCUCUGAUGUUAGCGGCGGACGGGUGAGUAACACGUGGAUAACCUACCUAUAAGACUGGGAUAACUUCGGGAAACCGGAGCUAAUACCGGAUAUUAUUUGGACCGGAUGGGUCAAAAGGAAAAGGCGGGCUUGGUGGCAAUUAUUAGUGGGUCCGCGCUGCAUUAGCUAGUUGGUAAGGUAACGGCUUACCAAGGCAACGAUGCAUAGCCGACCUGAGAGGGUGAUCGGCCACACUGGAACUGAGACACGGUCCAGACUCCUACGGGAGGCAGCAGUAGGGAAUCUUCCGCAAUGGGCGAAAGCCUGACGGAGCAACGCCGCGUGAGUGAUGAAGGUCUUCGGAUCGUAAAACUCUGUUAUUAGGGAAGAACAUAUGUGUAAGUAACUGUGCACAUCUUGACGGUACCUAAUCAGAAAGCCACGGCUAACUACGUG
rnacentral:rRNA from 1 species